rnacentral:rRNA from 1 species
GAAGGGGGCGAGCGUUGUUCGGAAUCACUGGGCGUAAAGGGCGCGCAGGCGGCCUUGUUUGUCAGGCGUGAAAGCCCCGGGCUCAACCUGGGAGGUGCGCUUGGGACGGCGAGGCUGGAGAUCGGGAGAGGAGAGUGGAAUUCCCAGUGUAGAGGUGAAAUUCGUAGAUAUUGGGAAGAACACCGGUGGCGAAGGCGGCUCUCUGGACCGAUACUGACGCUGAGGCGCGAAAGCGUGGGGAGCAAACAGGAUUAGAUACCCUGGUAGUCCACGCUGUAAACGAUGUGUGCUAGACGUUGGGGAGCCUAGCUCUUCGGUGUCGCAGCUAACGCGAUAAGCACACCGCCUGGGGAGUACGGCCGCAAGGUUA